UUGUAGUCUGCAACUCGACUACAUGAAGCUGGAAUCGCUAGUAAUCGCGAAUCAGAAUGUCGCGGUGAAUACGUUCCCGGGUCUUGUACACACCGCCCGUCACACCAUGGGAGUCGGAUAUGCCCGAAGUCAGUGACCCAACCAUAUGGAGGGAGCUGCCGAAGGUGGAGCCGAUAACUGGGGUGAAGUCGUAACAAGGUAGC
rnacentral:rRNA from 1 species